UACGUAGGGUGCGAGCGUUGUCCGGAAUUAUUGGGCGUAAAGAGCUUGUAGGCGGUCUGUCGCGUCUGCUGUGAAAAUCCGGGGCUCAACCCCGGACUUGCAGUGGGUACGGGGCAGACUAGAGUGCGGUAGGGGAGACUGGAAUUCCUGGUGUAGCGGUGAAAUGCGCAGAUAUCAGGAGGAACACCGGUGGCGAAGGCGGGUCUCUGGGCCGUAACUGACGCUGGAGGAGCGAAAGCAUGGGGAGCGAACAGG
rnacentral:rRNA from 1 species